GACGAACGCUGGCGGCGUGCUUAACACAUGCAAGUCGAACGGAAAGGCCCUGCUUUUGUGGGGUGCUCGAGUGGCGAACGCGUGAGUAACACGUGAGUAACCUGCCCUUGACUUUGGGAUAACUUCAGGAAACUGGGGCUACUACCGGAUAGGAGCUCCUGCUGCAUGGUGGGGGUUGGAACGUUUCGGCGGGUGGGGAUGGACUCGCGGCUGAUCAGCUUGUUGGUGGGGGAGUGGCUUACCAAGGCUGUGACGGGUCGGCGGCCUGAGAGGGUGGACGGGCACAAUGGGACUGCGAGACGGAGCAGACUGGUAUGGGAGGCAGCAGGCGGGAAUAUUGUACAACGAGAGCAAGCGUGAUGCAGAAGCGCCGCGUGCGGGAAGCCCGUCUUCGGGUAGAAAAACGCAUCCGCCUGUGACGACGCGUGACUGACGGUACUGGGUAAAGAAGCACCGGCUAACUACGUG
rnacentral:rRNA from 1 species